UACAGAGGUCCCAAGCGUUGUUCGGAUUCAUUGGGCGUAAAGGGUGUGUAGGUGGCGCCGUAAGUCGGGUGUGAAAUCUCGGGGCUUAACUCCGAAACUGCAUUCGAUACUGCGGUGCUUGAGGACUGGAGAGGAGACUGGAAUUCAUGGUGUAGCAGUGAAAUGCGUAGAGAUCAUGAGGAAGACCAGUGGCGAAGGCGGGUCUCUGGACAGUUCCUGACACUGAGACACGGAAGGCCAGAGGAGCAAACGGG
rnacentral:rRNA from 1 species